rnacentral:lncRNA from 1 species
ACAUGGUCCAUGCCAACACAGGCAGUCUAGGCUGCUCCACAGCUGCGACUUGCAAAGCGAGGUUCUCGCCUCUUUGAGAAGCAUUCAAGUCACUGGAAACGUCUCUCCUGCUCAAGCUUCCACGCUUUCUCCUUGGAUGCUCGCUCCCGCUCAGCUGACAGGAAAUCCAGACACUCAAGGGCCCCAAGAACCUAAUCACAGAAGUAGCGACCUUUCAUUUGUGUGCACACAUGUGUGUACAUACACACACGUGUUCCGUCUGCCUCCUCUUUCUACCUUUUGGACAAAGAACUGGAUUAUAGCUCACCAGCUUGGACGUCAGUGUGCAUAAUAAUCAGAUCGACCCCGUCGAGUUCUUGAGAGCACUUGAGAUCAGCUGGGCCAGCAAACCUCACCCAAAGGAGAAAGAAGAGAGCUCACCCAUCAACUUCUCUAAGCUGAACCCAGACGAGGUGAUAAAAAGCAUGCAGGAGGUAGUGGAGUCCUCCCAGCCUGCUUUGGUAAAGGCCUUCUCUGCCCUGGAUAAAGAGGACACGGGGUUCGUGAAGGCUAUGGAAUUUGGAGAUGUUCUCAAGAGCAUAUGCCAGAAGCUAACAGACAACCAAUACCACUACUUCUUGAGGAGGUUAAGACUUCACCUAACAGCCAACAUACACUGGAAAUACUUCCUGGAGAACUUCAGCUCCUUCUUGGACGA